AAGGAGGAAGAGGGGUGGUAGAGGGAGAGAUGAAGGAGGAGAAGGAGGUAGAGGAGUGGUAGAAGGAGAGAUGAAUGAGGAGAAGUAGGUACAGUAGAGCAGUGGUAGAGGGAGAGAUGAUGAGAAGGUGGUACUGUAGAGGAGUGGUAGAGGGGGCGAUGAAGGAGGAGAAGGAGUUAGAGGAGUGGUAGAGGAAGAGAUGAAUGAAGAGAAGGAGGUAGAGGAGUGGUAGAGGGAGAGAUGAAUGAGGAGAAGGAGGUAGAGGAGUGGUAGAGGGAGAGAUGAAUGAGGAGGAGGUACAGUAGGGGAGUGGUAGAGGGAGAGAUUAAUGACUAGAAGGAGGUACAGUAGAGGAGUGGUAGAUAGAGAGAUGAGUGAGGAGAAGGAGGUACAGUAGAGGAGUGGUAGAGGGAGAGAUGAAUGAGGAGAAGGAGGUACAGUAGAGGAGUGGUAGACGAAGAGAUGAAAGAGGAGAAGGAGGUUGAGGAGUGGUAGAGGAAGAGAUGAAUGAGGAGAAGGAGGUACAGUAGAGGAGUGGUAGAGGGAGAGAUGAAUGAGGAGGAGGUACAGUAGAGGAGUGGUAGAGGGAGAGAUGAAUGAGGAGAAGGAGGUAGAGGAGUGGUAGAAGGAGAGAUGAAUGAGGAGAAGGAGGUACAGUAGAGGAGUGGUAGAAGGAGAGAUGAAUGAGGAGAAGGAGGUACAGCAGAGGAGUGGUAGAGGGAGAGAUGAAUGAGGAGGAGGUAGAGGAGUGGUAGAGGGGGAGAUGAAUGACUACAAGGAGGUACAGUAGAGGAGUGGUAGAGGGAGAGAUGAAUGAGGAGAAGGAGGCACAGUAGAAGUGGUAGAGGGAGAGAUGAAUGAGGAGGAGGUACAGUAGAGGAGUGGUAGAGGGAGAGAUGAAUGAGAAGAAGGAGGUAGAGGAGUGGUAGAAGGAGAGAUGAAUGAGGAGAAGGAGGUACAGUAGAGGAGUGGUAGAGGGAGAGAUGAAUGAGGAGGAGGUACAGUAGAGGAGUGGUAGAGGGAGAGAUGAGUGAGGAGAAGGAGGUACAGUAGAGGAGUGGUAGAGGGAGAGAUGAAUGAGG
rnacentral:lncRNA from 1 species